AGACGUCUACAUUAGAUACCCCCGUAGUCCCAGCCGUAAACAAUGUGCGUUAGGUGUGUCGGUAACCACGUGUUACUGAUGCGCCGAAGAGAAAUCGUGAAACGCACCACCUGGGAAGUACGGUCGCAAGGCUGAAACUUAAAGGAAUUGGCGGGGAGCACCACAACAGGUGGAGCCUGCGGUUUAAUUGGAUUCAACGCCGGACAUCUCACCGGAUAAGACAGCUGAAUGAUUGUCAAUCUGAAGGUUUUACAUGACUAGCUG
rnacentral:rRNA from 1 species